rnacentral:rRNA from 1 species
GACGAAGGGGGCAAGCGUUGUUCGGAAUUACUGGGCGUAAAGGGCGCGUAGGCGGCUCUUUAAGUCAGGCGUGAAAGCCCUGGGCUCAACCUGGGAGUGGCGCUUGAUACUGGAGGACUAGAGAGUGGGAGAGGUUGGUGGAAUUCCCAGUGUAGAGGUGAAAUUCGUAGAUAUUCGCAAGAACACCGGUGGCGAAGGCGGCCAACUGGACCAUUACUGACGCUGAGGCGCGAAAGCGUGGGGAGCAAACAGG